rnacentral:sRNA from 1 species
CACAAUUGAAUAGGCUCCUCAAGGGUGGUCGGCUCAUCCCCUCACGAAAGGGGGUGAGAUCGGUAUGACGGAAUUUCAGACAUUGACGGUGAUGAUUGCAUUCGGUUCUCUUGGUAGUGCUAUCAUUUUCGGAACGUUGACUGUAAUACUGUCCAUACUCAACCUGACAAAAAAGAAAUAGACCUCCCUUGAGCUUGGCCGCUUAGGAGAUCUAUUUCUAGCAGACAUUGAGCCGACACCCUUGAUGGGUAUCAGUUGUGCAAACGGCCGUAGGUGUUUCCCGCACCUGCG